rnacentral:rRNA from 1 species
AACGAACGCUGGCGGCAGGCUUAAUACAUGCAAGUCGAGCGGGCACUUCGGUGUCAGCGGCGCACGGGUGCGUAACGCGUGGGAACAUGCCUUUAGGUACGGAACAACACAGGGAAACUUGUGCUAAUACCGUAUAAUAUCUUCGGAUCAAAGAUUUAUCGCCUAAAGAUUGGCCCGCGUUAGAUUAGGUAGUUGGUGGGGUAAUGGCCUACCAAGCCGACGAUCUAUAGGGGGUCUGAGAGGAUGAUCCCCCACACUGGAACUGAGACACGGUCCAGACUCCUACGGGAGGCAGCAGUAAGGAAUAUUGGACAAUGGGCGAAAGCCUGAUCCAGCCAUGCCGCGUGAGUGAUGAAGGCCUUAGGGUUGUAAAGCUCUUUUAGAUGGGAAGAUAAUGACUGUACCAUCAGAAUAAGCCCUGGCUAAAUUCGUGCCAGCCGCCGCCGUAA